GAAUUAGUCACGACUUCUUGCUGCUAUCCAAAGCAUUUAUCGGAUAUUAUAAAAACCCUGCAUGUAAAAAAAGUAACAACCACCAAUCCUUUUUUCUCCUUCUAUUCUAUUUUGUUUUCCACGGCCAAAAAUGGGGGGGGGGGGGGAGGGUGGAGCGUGAGCCCCCAUUCUCUCCCUCGCUCCCCUCUCCAGCUCCUCCCUCUUACCUGCGAGUCGAGUCCCCGCCGAGGGCCGCCGCGCCUCGGUCCCUCCCCGCUGGGCCGAGGGGCAGCCGCCGCCGUUGCCGAGAGCCAAGAGUCCGAAGGGAGCCGGCCGGGGCCUCCCCGGCAGCAGGAGCAGCUCCACCGGGAAAGGAGGAGACAAAACAGCACCGCGCCUCCUCCCUUACACACUCCCUCACUCACUCCCUCUCUCUCUCUCACAAACGCUCCCCCGCCUGCUUCACAACAGCUCCUACCACCCCCAACCCCCAACGGCGGCGGCAGCGACGGCGGCGACACUGAGCCCGGCGCACGCAGUAAUGGUCCCCCCAACCCGCCGCCGCCGAGCUUUCCCCGCGCCCGGCCCCCUCCCUCCAGCCCGCUCAGCUCCGCCCCCUUCGCCUCCUGCUGCCGCCACCAGGACACACGAUUCCGCCCGCCCCGCUCCGCGCGCGCGCGCCCCCCCUCCACACACCCAUUUCACACGCACAUCCCCGGCGGGAGGGGGAGCCGCGCCGUAUUCCCCAGGAGGCGCUCGGCUCCGACUGGCGGCGGGCAGCGUCCUUGGCCAGCGUGCAGCCCCAGCUCGGAUCUCUGUCCCACACCUGGAUUGGCUGCUGUGUGGAAUCUCCCCGUUUCCCCCACCCCACCAAAGUUCCCGCAUCCAUUCAAUGCGCCCGCCUUGAGCCCCUCGAGCACGCGAAAACUUCCCACCUCCAUUCUCAAGCUACCACAGGCCGGUGCUCUCGACAACUCCCGGUCAUGAGAUGGCGGGACUUCUAGGCCUGGCUGCAGCCAGCCUCACCUGGCUCCUCUACCCUCCCCCACAAGCUAGACUGCCCCUCCCUCGCAUCCCCACUGGCCACGCUCUGCGAGGGCUGUCCAGGCCUCUCGGUCCUUAAAACCUCCGUUCCAGCGGGGGGUUGGUCUGUGCACCUGCCCAGGCGCAAAACAGCUGCCCGGUACCCCUACCCUUCCUCUUCAUCUCUACCUUUUUCGAGUCCCCUGAAUCCUCCCUCCGCCCCGCCUCCAAUGAUUAAUAUCCCUUCAAUCUCCUUCCACAGGACCGAGCCCAGACUAAGGCAGUUUGACAGUUAUGGGUAGGGGGAAAGGGCAAAACACGAGGCGCUUCUCUCUCCCUCUCAACCAGCGCCCCUCCCCGAGGGGAGUGGGCCAGCUAUCCCCGCCCAAAAGUGACCCCGCCCCCGGUCGGUGACGUACCGUGUUGACCCCGCCCCCUGACGCUCCUCGCGCCAGUCUUCUCCUCCUUCUCCCUCCUGACAGCGUCACCUCCUCGCCCGCCCCGUUGACUCCGCCCCAUUCCCCGAAAUUACAACCGACUGAACUGCCCCGGCGGCCGUUGGAGUUUGCGUUCGGUUUCCUCCGCCCGCGUGGCUCGGUUGCGGGUCCCGGCGCUCGCGUUCAGGCUCUGCUGGGCGCUUCCGAGCGGGCUCGCUGAGGGCCAGGGCGCGGGCGCCAGCGCGCGCACCACCUUGCCCUCUUCCCGUUUCCUCCCCUAUUCCCCCACCCCCCCGCACCGCUCGCCUACCCGCUGCGCCGGCUCCCCAGUCGGAGCCAAGAGGCCAUUCCGCGACGUGCAUCGCCGAAGUUUGCCCAAAGUUUCUCCUGGAACAGCUCUUGUUCCUCUGAAGUUUGCGGACCCACAAAGAAAGCGAUUCGAGCCCUAUUAGGAGAGCCAAAAUGUAAAGUUUUGUUCAGAGAAUUGAAGAUUCAGGGCGGAAGAAGUGGUGGACGGUCGGUGUGGAAUGGGGACUCUAGGAGACCGUAGUAGUCAUGUCAGGGCUCGAAAGGGAAUCUAGCAUGCGUGUUAUGUCCAAAAAAACAAGUUGGCACUUAGAAUUAGGAAAACUCGAGUUAAGAUUUUAUUUCACACUUGUUAACUGUGACCUUGGGCAAGUCAUUUAACCUCUGCCUAAAUUUCUUCAACUGUAAAGUGAGGAUAAUAACACCAACUGCUAAGGCAGUUUUGAGGAUCAACUGAAGAUGGUAACGCAUUUACUGUAGUUCCUGACAUAUAAUGGGUGCUAUAUCAAUUAUAGUUCUUUUUAAAGCAGGACAUCCAGGUGACUAAAUGAAUAAAGCCAGAAGACUGGAAUUAAGAUGUGGCUGG
ensembl:lncRNA